rnacentral:tRNA from 1 species
GCUCCUAUGGUGUAGUUGGUCAACACUGUGGACUUUGAAUCCACCACCCCAAGUUCAAGUCUUGGUGGGAGCU